AACCGCAUCAGGUCUCCAAG
rnacentral:snRNA from 1 species